GGAGGAGCCACAUGAGCCUCUGACCUUCAGCAGGCUCCAUCACCAUGGGGUUUGCACUGAUCUGGGCUUCCCUUCUCCUCCUUGUCAAAGGUGUCCUGUGUGAUGUUCAGCUGGUGGAGUCAGGGGGAGAUGUGAGACAGCCUGGGGGUUCUCUGAGCCUUUCCUGCAAAGCCUCUGGAUUCACCUUCACUGAUUAUGCAAUGAACUGGGUCCGCCAGGCUCCAGGACAGGGGCUGGAGUGGGUGGCAGGAGUGAGUAAACCAACGGGAAAAGAGCAGUGGUACUCUCCAUCAGUUAAAGGGAGAUUCACCAUCUCCAGAGACAACCCUACAAGCACAGUCUCACUGAAAAUGACAAACCUGAAAGUAGAGGACAUGGCCAUGUAUUGCUGUGUGAGAGACAUAGUGAGAGGAAGUCUGGGUGAGCCCAGACACAAACCUCCCUUGCAGGGCACAGGAGGGGCUGGGCUGCAGGGGGCACUCAGAACAACAGGGGGAACGCAGGGACCAUACCCAGGGGCAGGUGCAGAGAGGGGCUGUGAGAAUUCUGGCCUUGCCUGGGGUUCCUUCUUCUUGCUCCACAGCACGUAA